UAAAGCUUCAUGUCAUAGAGCAGCACAGAAGCUAGACCCUUAUGAAUGGUGGUCGUUUUAUGGAAGUUCUGUUCCAGAGUUGCAAAAUCUUGCAAUGCGUAUUCUUAGCCAAACUUCUUCCUCUUCUGGUUGUGAGAGAAAUUGGAGCUUGUUUGAACGCAUCCAUACCAAAAGAAGAAAUAGAUUGGAACAUCAAAGACUAAAUGAUUUAGUCUUUACAAACUACAAUCUAUGAUUGAAGAAUAGGAGCCAAUUGAAGAAAAAGACAAGUUUUGAUCCAAUUGAUUAUGAAUCUAUUGACAAAUUGGACUUUUGGAUUGCUGAAGAGGAACAAGAGCCAGCUCCUGAGUUUGAUGCUGAUGAUGUCACUAAUUUGGAAAGUGCUAUGCAUAAUGAGAAUGUUGUAGCUUCAUCAGCUUCUGAGAGAAAUAAUGAAGGGGAAGAAGAUAUGAAUAUUUCAGAGCAUCCACAUUUGAAUGAUGAUGUUGGAAGUGGUUCUGGUUUCUCUCAAUCAUCUCCUAAUGUUUCAAUCCUUACUCCCGGAGAUUUGAAUGAAAUUAAUGAGGAUUUUGGUGUUGAUUAUUAUUAGCUUUAGACUUUUUGAUGAUUAAAGGAUUGUAAGGAUGAAUAUUUUAAAUGUUGUGUUUUUAAUGAUGUUUUGAUGAUUAUCUUGGACUUGUAUGUGAUAUUAUAUAAGAUAUUAAGUCUUAGAGAAUUUAUUUUUAUUUAAAUCAUAU